rnacentral:rRNA from 1 species
CUUGGUGGCCACACCGAUCGGGACACACCCGGAUCCCAUUCCGAACCCGGAAGUUAAGCCGAUCAGGGCCGAUGGUACUCGGAGGGCAGCCUCCCGGGAGAGUAGGACGCCGCCAGGC